AGUAAAAUGGCUGAGUGAAAGCUUUGGAUUGUAAAUUCAAAGGCAGAGAUUAAAUAACUCUUUUUACCA
rnacentral:tRNA from 1 species